CAUCUUAUGGGCUUAGAAAUAAAGGAUAAUAGUGAUAUUGUGAUUAUACACUGUUUAAUGGCUACCAAAAUAUUAAUUGCUAGAUUUUGGAAAAAUACUGAUAUUCCUACUAGAGAUCAAGUUAAAGCCCAACUCCUAUUCCAAGUCGAGAUGGAAAAGAGGUUAAUGUAUAUGUGAGAAUAUCCUAAUUUUUAUAUUUUGACGUUUUAUUCCAGUAUUGUUGAAAAAAUUAUUGGGCUUUAAAUGAGC